AGAGUUUGAUCAUGGCUCAGAAUGAACGCUGGCGGCGUGCCUAACACAUGCAAGUCGCGCGAGAAAGCCCCUUCGGGGGUGAGUAAGGCGGCGGACGGGUGAGUAACGCGUGGACAACCUACCCUGGGGUUGGGGAUAACCCUGCGAAAGCGGGGCUAAUACCGAAUACGCUGCUUUUUUCCUGGGUGAUUUGUUUCACCGAGGUGAGAAGCGGGAAAGGUGGCCUCUGAUUCAAGCUACCGCCCUGGGAUGGGUUCGCGUCCCAUUAGCUUGUUGGUGGGGUAACGGCCUACCAAGGCGACGAUGGGUAGCCGGCCUGAGAGGGUGAUCGGCCACACUGGGACUGGAACACGGCCCAGACUCCUACGGGAGGCAGCAGUGGGGAAUCUUGGGCAAUGGGCGCAAGCCUGACCCAGCAACGCCGCGUGUGGGAAGAAGGCCUUCGGGUCGUAAACCACUGUCAGGAGGGAAGAAAAGCAGUUUCCGAACAGGGGGCUGUUUUGACGGUACCUCCAGAGGAAGCACCGGCCAACUCCGUGCCAGCAGCCGCGGUAAUACGGAGGGUGCAAGCGUUAUUCGGAAUCACUGGGCGUAAAGCGCGCGUAGGCGGCUGCGCAAGUCAGAUGUGAAAGCCCUCGGCUAAACCGGGGAACUGCAUCUGAAACUGCGUAGCUAGAGUUCGGGAGAGGGCGGCGGAACUCCCGGUGUAGGGGUGAAAUCCGUAGAUAUCGGGAGGAACACCAGAGGCGAAGGCGGCCGCCUGGACCGAAACUGACGCUGAGGCGCGAAAGCGUGGGUAGCAAACAGGANUAGAUACCCUGGNAGUCCACGCCGUAAACAUUGGGCGCUAGAUGCUGGGGGCGUUAGAGCCCUUCGGUGUCGCAGCUAACGCGUUAAGCGCCCC
rnacentral:rRNA from 1 species